ensembl:snRNA U6 U6 spliceosomal RNA
AUGCUUGCUUCAACGCACAUAUACUAGUAUUGGAAAAAUACAGAGAUUAGCAUGGCCCCUGGGCAUGGAUGACAUGCAAGUAAAAUUACCAAUAUAU